rnacentral:rRNA from 1 species
CCUACGGGGGGCUGCAGUGAGGAAUAUUGGUCAAUGGGAGAGAUCCUGAACCAGCCAAGCCGCGUGAGGGAAGACGGCCCUAUGGGUUGUAAACCUCUUUUGUCGGAGAACAAAACGCGGGACGUGUCCCGGACUGCGUGUAUCCGAAGAAAAAGCAUCGGCUAACUCCGUGCCAGCAGCCGCGGUAAUACGGAGGAUGCGAGCGUUAUCCGGAUUUAGUGGGUUUAAAGGGUGCGUAGGCGGUCCGUUAAGUCAGCGGGAAAAUUGCGGGGCUCAACCCCGUAGAGCCGUUGAAACUGGCAGCCUUGAGUUGGCGAGAGGUACGCGGAAUGCGCGGUGUAGCGGUGAAAUGCAUAGAUAUCGCGCAGAACUCCGAUUGCGAAGGUAGCGUACCGGCGCCAGACUGACGCUGAGGCACGAAAGCGUGGGGAGCAAACAGGAUUAGAUACCCUUGUAGUC